rnacentral:rRNA from 1 species
UCCUGGCUUCAAACGAUGUGGGCUUGGUGUCGGCCCCCUACAGAGGGUCGUUGCCGGAGCUAACGUGUUAAGCCCACCGCCUGGGGAUUACGUCCGCAAGGAUGAAACUCAAGGGAAUUGACGGGGGCCCACACAACCGGUGGAGCACGUGGUUUAAUUCGAUGAUAAGCGAAGAACCUUACCAGGGCUUGACCUAGCGGUAGUAGGAUCCUGAAAGGGAAACGACCUCAAGCUUUGCUUGAGGAGCCGUGGCAGGUAUUGCAUGGCUGUCGUCAGCUCGUGUCGUGGGACGUUGGGUUAAGUCCCGUAACGAGCGCAACCCCUGCUCUUAAUUGCCAGCGGGUAAUGCCGGGUACUAUAAGGGGACUGCCGGAGAAUAUCCGGAGGAAGGAGGGGAUGACGUCAAGUCAUUAUGAUCCUUAUGCUCUGGGCGACACACGUGCUACAAUGGGCACUACAAUGAGGAGCAAGUCUGCAAGGACGAGCAAAUCUCAAAAAGGUGCCCCCAGUGCGGAUUGGGGUCUGCAACCCGACCCCAUGAAGAUGGAAUCGGUAGUAAUCGCGGGUCAGCCAUACCGCGGUGAAUAUGUACUUGGGCCUUGUACACACCGCCCGUCACACCAAUCGAGUAGGCGACACCCGAAGUCGACGUAUGUUGCCGAAGG